AUGGAGGACGACCCUGAUUCCGCUUCGCUUGAGGUGGAUACAGAGUACCCCAUCACUGUUUCGCUCGGGAGGACGGAGGAGGAUCCUGAUUCAGAUUCCGCUUCGCUUGCAGUUGAGGUGGAUGUAGAGCACCCCAUCACUGUUUCGCUCGGCCCCAUGGGUCGCCUCCUCCGGCGACUCCAUUCAUUCCAGGCUUCCGACCACCGUCUGCCAGAGGGGCUUAGUGCGAACGGGAUCCGGCUUCUCAGAGAAGGGCUGGAACGAUUGUACAACCACCUCAAGAAUGCGCCGGAGGCAGAUGUGGACAACCCUAGCUUCGCGCCGAAAUGGUGGAUCAAGGAGGUCCGAGAACUUGCUUACGACACGGAGGACUUCUUCGACGAGGUUAUGCAGUCCGGUGACGGCGUCGUUGUCGGCAGAAGCGCCCCCCUUGGUACCAUAUUUGGAAUUAGGAAGCAGCGCCUGCCCCAGAUUGCACAAGAUUUCUCACAGUUAAUGGCCCGUGUGGAUGAUGCGAAAAAAAGAUGCCAAAAUUUCCGGUUUGCUCUGGAGACGGCCGUCAUCAUCAGAUCUCAAAGAGUACAAGCCGGUAUCAGCUGCCACACGCCUGAACUGCCCCUCGACCUGCCGGUGUUGGCUGUGCAGAUGGAACCCAUGAAGAAGCUUGUUAACUUGCUUGCUUUCGGCGACGACAACCAGAAACAGCUCAAGGUGUUACCUAUCCUUGGAUCUGCAGGAGUUGGAAAAACGAUGGUUGCCAGAACAAUAUAUCAUCAGCAUGGAGGGGAAUUCCAGUGCCGGGCUUUUGUACGGGUGUCCCGAAAUGCCGAUAUGAGGUGGCUUCUCACCAGCAUCCUCUCACAAAUUAAAGCACCAGACUCAUUCCUUUACUGA
rnacentral:rRNA from 1 species